GCUUAACACAUGCAAGUCGAGCGGUAACAUUUCUAGCUUGCUAGAAGAUGACGAGCGGCGGACGGGUGAGUAAUGCUUGGGAACAUGCCUUUAGGUGGGGGACAACCAUUGGAAACGAUGGCUAAUACCGCAUAAUGUCUACGGACCAAAGAGGGCUUCGGCUCUCGCCUUUAGAUUGGCCCAAGUGGGAUUAGCUAGUUGGUGAGGUAAUGGCUCACCAAGGCGACGAUCCCUAGCUGGUUUGAGAGGAUGAUCAGCCACACUGGAACUGAGACACGGUCCAGACUCCUACGGGAGGCAGCAGUGGGGAAUAUUGCACAAUGGGCGCAAGCCUGAUGCAGCCAUGCCGCGUGUGUGAAGAAGGCCUUCGGGUUGUAAAGCACUUUCAGUUGUGAGGAAAGGUUAGUAGUUAAUACCUGCUAGCUGUGACGUUAGCAACAGAAGAAGCACCGGCUAACUCCGUGCCAGCAGCCGCGGUAAUACGGAGGGUGCGAGCGUUAAUCGGAAUUACUGGGCGUAAAGCGUACGCAGGCGGUUUGUUAAGCGAGAUGUGAAAGCCCCGGGCUCAACCUGGGAACUGCAUUUCGAACUGGCAAACUAGAGUGUGAUAGAGGGUGGUAGAAUUUCAGGUGUAGCGGUGAAAUGCGUAGAGAUCUGAAGGAAUACCGAUGGCGAAGGCAGCCACCUGGGUCAACACUGACGCUCAUGUACGAAAGCGUGGGGAGCAAACGGGAUUAGAUACCCCGGUAGU
rnacentral:rRNA from 1 species